GUCCUCCAGCUGUUCCUUAUAUGUACAUUUAACUUUUCCGGCCUCUUAUUGCUACCUGUCCCAACUUUUUUGGAAUGUGUAGCUCUCAUGAAAUCCAAAAUGAGCCAAUAUUUGGAAUGACAUUUCAAAAUGUCUCACUUUCAACAUUUGAUAUGUUAUCUAUAUUCUAUUGUGAAUAAAAUAAAAGUUUAUGAGAUUUGUAAAUCAUUCCAUUCCUUUUUUACUCACAAUUUGUACACUGUCCCAACUUUUUUGGAAUCGGGUUUGUAUUUAAAAUUAAGUAAAUAUUUACUUAAGUAGGCUAAAACUUAUACAUAAUUUGAAAAUUUAAAACAAGGAAACAUCAUAUCAGUUCUAUUCAAUUAAAUUAAUUUGUAAAUAAACUCAAUAGGCUAGACUUGCUGUUCCUGUUAAGAAUGGUUUAUAUACUGUAUAUAUAUAGAGAGAGAGAGGUGUCCCACUUCAUACACUACUGCCUGCGCCUGCACAAGUACCACACACACAUACUCUCAAUGCGAAAUAAAUUAGUUCUGAAGCAUCUGCAAGCUGCUCUUUCCCAAGCGUUUGUCCUCCACAACAGCUGACAAAAUGUGUCCAAGUGCAUCUUCAUGUGUUUGAGUAGGAGCAAGUAGAUUAGUUUUUUUUAGAGGAACUUUCAUCACCCAUUCACUGCAGAGAAUCCAUUGAUGAGACACUGAUGCAAUGACACACUUCAGGACUCAACAUUAAACCUUGACCUUUUUUUUUUUUUUUUGGUGUAAAUGUAAUUUAUUUUGAACCAGUAGUCUCAUCAGUGCUCUAUCAGGUCAAAACUACAAAUGGUCAUACAAAUGUUUUUUCGUAAAGAGAUUUUGCAAUAUGUACAUGAAAACCCUUUAAGUUGUCAUCUUGGAAGAUUACAUUUUACAUUUUCAUUUUUAUGCAAUUAGCAGAUGCUUUUAUCCAAAGCAACUUACAGUGGAUUCAGACUAACAUUUUUUUACCUAACAUCUGUUCCCUGGGAAUUGAACCAACAACCUUUUGUACUGCUAACACAAUGCUCUACCACUGAGCCACAGGAACAGAUUAAAACCCUUCUUCGACUUCUGGACAUAGCUAAUUGGCCAAAUGUGAGAGCUGAUGUUUGGAGCUGCUGUGGGAGUGGGCCGUGUUCAUACAGACGUCUGCUGAGCUGGAGAUCGUGUGUGAGAUGAAGCAGAGGUGCUGCUGUGUGGCGCUGGAUUGUGACGCCGAGCUGAAGAGCGCCUCAGAGGUGCACUACACACCUCCUAAUGGACGGCUCGUCUCGCUGGCCUCCGAACGCUUCCGGUGACUGUCUGAGAUCAGAGUUGUGCUCUGGUGAAGAGUUCACUGCAGACCAGUGUCUGAAGCUCAGAUCCUAACAUGGACAACAAUAAUCUGAGAUUUUUGAUUACUUUAAUCCAGCUAAACAAGUCAAAUUAAGACAUGUGGAGGAUUCCUAUUUUAGGUACUAUUUCACACUAUUAUAAGGUUAAGGUAAAUAACUAGUUUAAUGAUGUCCAUGUAAGCGUAUUCCCUGACACUGUUCUUCACAUUACAUACUGUAACGCUGCUUGCUGUAAAGCAAUGUAAACUGAGUUUGUGCACACAUCUCCAUGUCACUGUGAUCAGAUGCUUUCUCACUGAGGUGCAGUCAUCUUUAUUACUAUAGCGCUUUAUAUGAGACGGAUCGGGUCGAAGCAG
ensembl:lncRNA